rnacentral:rRNA from 1 species
UAGGGAAUCUUCCACAAUGGACGCAAGUCUGAUGGAGCAACGCCGCGUGAGUGAAGAAGGUUUUCGGACCGUAAAGCUCUGUUGUUGGUGAAGAAGGAUAGAGGUAGUAACUGGCCUUUAUUUGACGGUAAUCAACCAGAAAGUCACGGCUAACUACGUGCCAGCAGCCGCGGUAAUACGUAGGUGGCAAGCGCUGUCCGGAUUUAUUGGGCGUAAAGCGAGCGCAGGCGGAAGAAUAAGUCUGAUGUGAAAGCCCUCGGCUUAACCGAGGAAUUGCAUCGGAAACUGUUUUCUUGAGUGCAGAAGAGGAGAGUAGAACUCCAUGUGUAGCGGUGGAAUGCGUAGAUAUAUGGAAGAAUACCAGUGGCGAAGGCGGCUCUCUGGUCUGCAACUGACGCUGAGGCUCGAAAAGCAUGGGUAGCGAACAGGAUUAGAU